GCAAUUCAAUGCUUCAGGGGCACACACGGACACAUGUAGAGGCGCGAAGAGGCUAAGAUGGACACUCCUUCACUGCUGUUAUAUCACAUUCGGCGCACGGAGC